UAGUAACUUUUUCUGCUUCACUUUAUGUUUCGUAGUCUUCUUUGUCACUGUGCGGUCAAGGCAGAAGAAAGGUUGGAGAAAGCAAUCGAAUUGGGGGUUUGGUCUUGGUUUGAUACAUAAAUAGAAUGAGAGAAACAUAAGAAUCAGAUUCUGCCUUGCCAGAUUACAUUAAUAGGUAGCUCAUGGAGAUGGUCUCCACCACUAAAUCUCAAAAUCGAGGCUUCUUGACUGGGAUGAAAUGCCAUGAGGUCUGCAGUGUCAAUUUCUUUCGACUGAUUUUGACUCUGGCCUUGGAUAGUGAAAUAGAGGAAAGUGGAGGGUGUUGCCGUGUUGAGACUCAAACCUACUGAUAGUUGAUGAUGACAGAUACUUAUAUGGAAUUGCUCUUUUUGCAUAACUUCUGUAUGUAAACGUUCAACUGUUUGCUGUAUGGUUACUUUGAUGAUCGUCCCUGGAUCUUUGAUGAUCGUCCCUGGAUAUUUGAUGAUCUGGAAGUCCCAUCUGAAAGGUAUGUGGUGCCUGACAUCAUCCUCUAACAGUAGACGAUUUCGGUUAAUGUUCUUGAGGAUGAAACUUGGGGAUUGAUUAAGAACUGAUAAUGGGAGAUCCCCUGAAAAUCAUUGGCAGUGAGAUGUUUAAUUGGGAAUCAAAUAAGGGUUAGAUGAGGAUAAAAUAGUUCAUGAACAGGAUUAUUGAAGGCCUGUGCUUGUGGGAGAGAGGACUUACUGGCAAGAUGGAAACCCAACUAGGACCUCCUUCAACUUGAUUUCCUUUCAAUGGUGUGUCCAUAUCGGGGGAAACCACAUAUGGCAGCCAAUUUGUGCUUCACUAGCUGACUAAUCACCUAAUCGUGAGAGCCAGAAACAUAAGCUGACCAGAGGCAUCUGCUUUUGCAUUCUUCCCUGCAACAUACAGAGGAUUUAUCACUUAGCAACGGCAUCAAUGCUGGAUAAUGUGUUUAGAAGUAACAGAAGAACUGCUACGAAGAAACAUUUUCUUUUACUAGGGUGUGGAGGUAGAGGUUGUAGCAUGAGAUUUUCCUUCUAAGAUGCAUAGAGAAAAAUCCGUUGUAACCAAUAUGAAUCAAGGCAGUUUCUUCUUUCUCUUAUAGUACUGGGAUGCGUGAUUAUUUUCCUUCAGCUUAUAAAAGGGCAUACUUUCGAGAUUCCUUUAUUUAGAACAUGUAAUUUGCAGUUUCUUUCUUCUGAUAAAAAUCUUCUACUGUCAUA